AUGCUUAUUGCAGCAGACAUUCAGAGAGUUAACUACUGAAAACAACCUACAACUCCACAAUAAAUGAUGGCACGACUUGACGGUGGAGUCCUCCGCAGCUGUUAACAGCCAUGAAGUCACCCUGGAACUCAAACUAAUAAUGGACCCCAACCAUGGCAAUCACAGCUUUAGAAGUGAGAACUCAGAGGAGAUUCUGGGCCCCAAAGGAUAGUAAAUCAAAGCCAAGAGUUUGGAGGUCUUAGUUCAAAAGGGAAGAAUACUUUCAUCUGAGACAGAGCACUGAUAUCAUUGAACUGGAAGUUAAGAAUGCCCCAUUUGGGGCUCCCUGGGUCUCUGGAUCAACAGACUCUCUCCGGGAACAAGCUGGAAGGACGUCAAACACCUUCUCGCUGAGAUGGCGGCAGA